ACCACUCACCGAGAGGAGGUGGGGUCAGGACGGGCUUAGCCCUGUGAGCCACCAAUUCCUGUGUGCAG
rnacentral:miRNA from 1 species